rnacentral:lncRNA from 1 species
ACUUCCUUGAAUGAGACACUCAUACGUGGUCAGAUAAGAUAGGGCUGCCUCUUAGAGAUUCAUAAACUACAUUAGUGACUUAAAGGCUCUGAUAAGUCCUGCAGUGAGAAGACCUGUUUAUAAUUUUGUUUUUACUGGCACCAUACAAGACCUUGAACUCUCCUGCUCCUGUUUCUAGAUGCCUAGUAACAGCUUGAAGUACAUUGGUAAAUUCUGAUCUUGUCUACCUCUUCAUAAGACCAACAGUAAAACUGAGGCUCCAGAGGCUGUGGGAUUUGCUCAGGGCCACACCGCCAGAAGUAGAUCCAGCCAUCCUGACUCAGAACCAGCCAGAGAGGCCUGACAUUGAAUGUCAGACACUGCCAGGGAGAAGUGGGUAAUCUCAGCUCCCAAUGACCCCAUUUUACAGACGUGGAAAUUGAGACUGCAUGACUCACCCAAAGCCUCUGGAUUAGUAAGAUACUUAGCUGAGAUCUCAACAUGGAGCUGCCAGACCCCACCUGUUAUGAAGCACCUACAAAAGAGGAUGGUGAAAAACCCUCCAGGCUGGACAGAGGGUCUCCUAGAGGGACCACAGGGUGGAGUCGACCCUUGGACUUGGGCUAGAAGCAUCUAAGACCCUAAUUAAAACAAGGACAGAAGGAAUGGUGAUAAUCGGUCUGUUUACAGAGUGCCAGGCAAGCACUAUUAUUAGCUCCAUUUUAUAGACACUCCGCAUAUAUUAUCAUAGAUAGUCUGCAUAUGUUUAAUCUUUCCUACACCCUUACAGGACAGAUAUUAUUAUGGUCUCCAUUCUGCAAAUAGGAGAAAUGAGGCUCAGAGGGAUGAAGACUUUCUCGUCCACAUCCGCCAUGCUAGUGAACAGCAGUGCUGGGAUCUGAACCCAGGUUUCAAAGAGCAUCUAUUAUUCAUUAUUUAUUGGGGCCUUCCUGGAUGCCUGACACUAUAACAAUAACGACGACAAUAAUAAUACUAAUUCCUUGUGUUCCAGGUCAUAGAAUGUGAAAGGAAAAUAAAUCUUGGGGCCCCCAAAUCACUAAGCUAAAGGGAAAAGUCAAGCUGGGAACUGUUUAGGGCCAACCUACCCCCCAUUCUAUUCAAAGGCAGCCCUCUGCUCACUGACAUAGAUGCAUUAUCUGUUUGUCUCCUUUGGAAAGGCUAAUCAGAAACUCAAAAGAAUGCGACCAUUUGUCUCUCACCUACCUGUGACCUGGAAAACCCCUCCCUGCUUCAAGUUGUCCUGCAUUUCUAGAUCGAACCAAUGUACUUCUUACAUAUAUUGAUUGAUGUCUCAUGUCUCUCUAAAAUGUAUAAAAUUAAGCUGUGCCCAGACCACCUUGGGCAUGUGACAGGAGGACUUCCUGAGGCUGUGUCAUGGGAGUGUCCUCAACCUCGGCAAAAUAAACUUCCUAAAUGAACUGAGA